rnacentral:rRNA from 1 species
GACGUUAGCGGCGGACGGGUGAGUAACACGUGGGUAACCUACCUAUAAGACUGGGAUAACUUCGGGAAACCGGAGCUAAUACCGGAUAAUAUUUCGAACCGCAUGGUUCGAUAGUGAAAGGUUGGUUUUGCUAUCACUUAUAGAUGGACCCGCGCCGUAUUAGCUAGUUGGUAAGGUAACGGCUUACCAAGGCGACGAUACGUAGCCGACCUGAGAGGGUGAUCGGCCACACUGGAACUGAGACACGGUCCAGACUCCUACGGGAGGCAGCAGGG